GGCAUCUUUUUGGUCAUGCUUUGGGUUGAAAUCGUGAUUACGAGGGUUGAGGAAGGUGAAGGAGCAGAGGUGUCUGGACGAAUCUUUCUUUCUCCAAGUUUGCUGGUAACAGGAAGGAGAACUGAAGGGCGGCAGCUUGAGGACCAUCUGGGUUGAGGAGUCAUAUUUUCCUUGGGAUGGAACAGUCCUGCUCUAGACACCAAGGAACAACCGGGAAAGUGAAGGGGAAAAUGGGAGGGGGCUGGAGACAAAGGGGAGGGAUUCUCUUGCCAGGAGAGGAGAGAAAAGGAAGACAGGAGGGUGAGGGGAUGGAUAUUAAGAAGCAGAAGGGAUGGAAUUUAGAGUUCACGCUGCGUGGUUCCAAUCUCCCUGAAGCAGAUGAGGUCAUCGGCUGAGAGUGAGGAGGACUGGAGUGAGUUUGGCGCCUCCAGGAAGCAGGAAUGUUGGAGCAGAGGCUCUGGGAACUUCAUCAGGGAGAAGAGCAGCGGCAAAAGCCAACUAGGGGAAUAGUCGGAGCAGUCACUUGGCUCCACCAGCCCCACUCUGGAUCCAGGAGCGGAAAAGAGAGGAAGGAGGCUUCAGAACUCCUAUCUGUAGCCUCCCAUCCAUUUGCCACCCAGCUGGCCGCCAGGCUCAUCAUCCCCUUCUCCUCAAGCUGGGGCCUCCUGAUCUUCAGAAACAGACUCCCUCUCAUCUCCAGAUUCCAGGGAGCAGGAGAAAUUCAAGCACUGGCCAGCACUGCAUCCUUGAACUCCUCAGCAAGGCACCAAAGUUCUCCAGGUAUCACUGCCCAAAAAUGUCCAGGCAGUCUCCCAUCUCCCCAGGGUCCUAACAGCAUGACUGUUCAAAUCCACAGUGUCUUGAACAUCUUGUGCAGAGAUGGAUCAAACCAUGCUGCUGCCUGAAGGAAGUUUGGAGCAGGUGUCUUAGUCCCUUCGGGCUGCUGUAGCAAAGUGCUAUAGGCUGGGUGGCUCAAAAACAACAGCAAUUUAUUUUUCAUAGCUCUGGAGGCUGGAAGUCCAAGAUCAGGAUGUCAGCAUGGGCGGGUCCUGGUGAGGCCCCUCUUCUGGGUUGUAGACUUCCGUCUUCUCUCUGUGUCCUCACAUGGUGGAAAGACAGCUGGUUAGCUCUCUGGCCUCUUCUCAUAAGUGCACUAAUCUGGCCGGACACAGUGGCUCAUGCCUGUAAUCCCAGCACUUUGGGAGGCCAAGGUGGGUGGAUCACCUGAGGUCAGGAGUUUGAGACCAGCUUGGCCAACAUGGUGAAACCCUGUCCCUACUCAGAAUGCAAAAAUUAGCGGGGUGGGGUGGCUCAUGCCUGUAGUCCCAGUUACUCAGGAGGCUGCGACAGGAGAAUCGCUUAAACCUGGGAGGCGGAGGUUGCUGUGAGCCAAGAUUGUGCAACUACAUUCCAGCCUGGGCAAUACGGUGAGACUCUGUCUCAAAAAACCAAAAAAUUAUAACUGCAUUAAUGCUAUUCAUGGGGGUUCCACUUUGUGAAAGGCAAAUAAAUCUUAUGGUCCUUAAAUCACUAAGCUAAAGGGAAAAGUCAAGUUGAGAACUGCUUCAGGCCAACCUGCCUCUCAUUCUAUUCAAAGUUACCCCUCUGUUCACUGAGAUAAAGGCAUAGCUGAUUGCCUCCUUUGGAGAGGUGAAUCAGAAAUGCAAAAGAAUGCAAUCAUUUAUCUCUUACCUAUCUAUGACCUGGAAGCCCCCUCCCCACUUUGAGUUGUCCCGCCUUUCCCGACCGAACCCAUGUUCAUCUUACAUAUGUUGAUUGAUCUCUCAAGUCUUCCUAGAAUGUAUACAACCAAACUGUGCUCUGACAACUUGGCCACAUGUGGUCAGUGUAAGAUUCUCCCCAGGGCCUGAAAGCUUGAAGGGCUGAGUAGUUCCUCCCUUCUCACUCAGGCCCAGUCCCAAUACGCAAGGCCACUUGUGUCAGCAGUGUGUGUCAGCAAGAUAGCAGAAGCAGGAAGAGAGCCGGCCGGAAGACACGUACCCUGGCCGGAAGACACGUACCCCUGAAGAUCGAGAAAGAGGCCAUCCGGGUACAACAUAGCAGUUGUGUCAGACUAGGACACUUCCUGUUUACAGGAGACUAUAAAACCUUUGUCCCAUACUCACGUGAGGUUGACACCGUUUUAGGCCUCAGCCCACCUGGACCCAGGCGCUCAUUAAAACAGCAUGUUGCUCCACACUGCCUUGUGUUGUCUGUUGGUGCACUCUUGGGGUUCGAAUGGAUACAAGAACCUCACAGUCAGGACCUCCUAAGGCUGUGUCACUGGCGCAUGUUCUCAACCUUGGCAAAAUAAACUUUCUAAAUUAACUGAGACCUGUCUCAGAUUUUCGGGGUUCAGAACUCUCAUGACCUACUUACCUUCCAAAGGCCCCACCUCCAAAUACCAUCACAUUGAGAUUAGGGUUUCAACAUAUGAAUUUUAGCAGGAGACAGACAUUCAGUCCAUUACAACAGGAAACAACAGGGGUAAUUCAUCCAGGCAAAUAAUUCCAACGCAGCGGGGCAGGCAUACGACAGAGGCUGGCAAAAGGCAUUCCGGGGCCGGGUGUGCUGGCUCACACCUGUAAUCCCAGCACUUUAGGAGGCUGAGGCAGGAGGAUCCCUUGGGGCUGGGAGUUUGAGACCAGCCUGGAAUGGAGCUGCAGCCAUCACUUCUGCAGUCCUAUGGCAAUACAGGAUGGCACGAGGUCACUCUCUGGUUCCUAUAUUCAAGGAGGUAUGGUAGGCCAGCCAUGGAGCCUCAUGUCUGUAGUCCCAGCACUUUAGGAGCUGAGGUGGGAGCAUCCCUUGAGUCCAGGAGCUUGAGACCAGCAUGGGCAACCUAGCAAGACUCCAUCUCUAUAUACAAUUAAAAGUUGAGCUGAGGAUAGGGGUACUUGCCUGUAAUCCCAGCUACGCAGGAGGCUGAGCCCAGGAGUUGGAGGCUGCAGUGAGCUGUGAUCACACCCCUGCACUCCAGCCUGGGUGAUAAAGCAAAACUCUAUCUCCAAAAAAUAAAAAUAAAAAAAGGACAACAUUAGAGAUGAGCUCUAAAGGACACCAGGAAAGAAAGGGGAAGGGAAUUCCAGGCAGAAGGAACCCAAUGAGCAAAGGUUCCAAGUCAAGAAGAGCCUGCAAUGUGGGGUCAUUCAAGAUCAGAAUAGCUUGAAGCUGUGGCAACUGUGGGCCCCGACCCUAAGCAUAGCAGGCUUUUUUUUUUUUGAGACGGAGUCUUGCUCUGUUGCCAGGCUGGAGUGCAGUGGCGCGAUCUCGGCUCACUGCAACCUCCGACUCCCUGGUUCAAGUGAUUCUCCUGCCCCAGUCUACUGAGUAGCUGGGAUUAUAGGCAUGUACCACCAUGCCCAGCUAACUUUUGUAUUUUUUUUUUAGUAGAGAUGGGGUUUCACCAUGUUGGCCAAGAUGGUCUCCAUCUCCUGACCUCAUGAUCUGCCCGUCUCAACCUCCCAAAGUGCUGGGAUUACAGGCGUGAACUACUGGGCCAGGCCCAUAGCAGGCUCUUAUAUGCACUGCCGUGGGCUGGGCCUCGAUUCUGUGGCUGCUGUGGUGUGACCAAGUGUGGGUUCCACCUGGCUCUGGGACGCCGGCCCUCCUCCUGGGGCUGCCCAGCCAUGCAGGCUCUGAGCCCUCAUCGUGAGGCAUUUUGCUCUCUGUCCUCUGAGCCGGUCUCUGCCUGCAGAAACCAUCUCCCCUCUGUUUCCAGUGCUGUAAUUCCUGCUAAGACCUAGGCAAGGCUUGACGCUGGGUUCUCGUUCUCACCGGGGGUGCCUUGGCCCUGUGAGUUUCAAGCCAAGUCACUCCUCCACUCUCGCGGGGUCUAUUUCUUCAUCCAUGACCCCAGGAGGGGGCCUGGAGGGAGGCACAGUGGAUGGACCUGCAACCACGGCCUGUCCUCUCCUGCCUUGUCUUUCUUUCCUUUUGUGGUGCUGUUUUAUCUGGAACUUUGCUGAAGCGGCAGUUUAUUCUAAUUCUCUCCAGCAGGACACAUUGUAGACUGUGGUUCAUCAUAUGCUAAUAACAUAAUUAUGUGGUUAGAAGAUCAGGUCAGCAGAACAUCGGCCAGGAUGGGAAAUAAAUCAAGGCCAGGCGUUUUCAGGGGAAAGUUCCAAGUAUUUCUUUAGCAAGGCCUCUCCGGGCUCCCGGCCCAGGGUACAAGGCUGCAAAGCCCUACUACGCAGGGGGAAGAUGAGAAGGCAGCUGCCAGGCUGUCAAAUUGAGGUCCCCGACCAGCAACCCCAGGGGCCAGUCACCAACCCGCUUGGAAAAACAGGAUUAGUCUCUAAAUAAUGCUUGACAGAUUUUUGGAACUUUCUUCUGUCCAAAGGGGACCCUGGGGUUUGUAGUCUGGUGUGUAAUCUCAUAACUACAUUGAAGGCAAACAGAAAAGUACUAGGAGACAUGAUAACUUGCUAGUUAGGCACAAGCACAAGCUCCUUAGUGCUUGGUGAGGCUAGAACCUGGUCUUCUGACCCCGGAGAGAAGUUGCUUUUAUUGCACUCUGUGCCUCCUCAAAUACUUGCCUGUUACUGCAGCUUCUUCAGAAAUGAGGGAGCAGGGAGUCAGGACGACUGUCCACACUGGGACGAUUGGAGGUCAACUGCAGGAAUUCUUUUCUUUUUUUGGAGACAAAGUCUCCAUCUGUCACCCAGGCUGCAGUGCAAUGGCACGAUCUCAACUCACUGCAACCUCUGCCUCCUGGGUUCAAGUGAUUAUCAUGUCUCAGCCUCCUGAGUAGCUGGGACUAUAGGCACACACCACCAUGCCUGGCUUAUUUUUUUUUUGUCUUUUGAGUAAAGACAGGGUUUUACCAUGUUGCCCAGGCUGAUCUUGAACUCCUGACCUCAGACAGUCUGCCACCUUGGCCUCCCAAAGUGCUGGGAUUACAGGCAUGAGCCACUGCACCCAGCCAGGGACUCCUUUCUAUAGUGCUUUUUUUUUUUUUCCUUAAGAGACAGGGUCUUGCUGUGUUGCCCAGGCUGGAGUGCAGUGGUGUGAUCACAGCUCCCUGCAGCUUUGACCUCUUGUGCUCAAGCGAUCCUCCUGCCCCAGCCUCCUGAGUAGCUGGGACUACAGGUAUACACCACUAUGCCUGGCUGAUUUUUUUAAAAAACACUUUUGUAGGCCAGGCCUGGUGGCUCAUGGCUGUAAUCCCAGCACUUUGGAAGGCCAAGGCCAGCAGAUCACUUUGAGACCAGCCUGGCCAACAUGGUGAAACCCCAUCUCUACUAAAAAUGCAAAAAUUAGGUAGGUGUGGUGGCAGAUGCCUGUAGUUCCAGCUACUCAGCUGGCUGAGGCAGGAGAAUUGCUUGAGCCUGGGGAGUGGAGGUUGCAGUGAGCCAAGAUCCAGCCACUGUAUUCCAGCCUGGGCAACAGAGCAAGAUUCUGUCUCAAAAAAAAAAAAAAAAAAAGGAGGAGAGAGGAGAAGAGGGAUGUCAAGAGGUUAGGCAGCAGAUGGUGUGAAACGGACCAGGACUUCAGGCAGCUGAGAACUAUUUGUCACACCCUAUGGACAUGGCUCCCCUAGCUCUCUUUCCGGUAGGAGAACAGGCCUUCUUUCAAGGUGGAGACUGUGCGUGAAGGGUUUGUCUAUGGAAAUCCAAAGGUUUAGUUCAUGAAGUUGGCCAGGGGCCCCCUUCUCAUCUCUUUCUGGAAACUCUUCCCACUCCCAGGAGCCCCUUCUCUUCCAAGAACCUCCCAGAACCUGGAUUUCAUUAAAUACCAAGGAG
rnacentral:lncRNA from 1 species